rnacentral:lncRNA from 1 species
GAAUAUCCCUUUGGCCAGCUUAAGUCAGCUGUCUUAAUUCUGCUUGUUCCCUCCCAGCUCCUGGGGCCCUUUGCUGCAGAGGGCCUGGGCUCUAUACACUGCUGCUUAGCAGCAGCUACAAACAUCGGUGUGGCAGCAACAUUGCUUUUCUCCUAGACCCAAAGCAUAGCAUCAUACCAGGUACUCUGAAGAAAACAAUUCCAUUCGAUCUGUAACUAAGGUGCUGAUCACUCAGGGUCAUUCCUCUCCCAUCCAGUACCAGCAUAGCACAUGGCUUCCACAGAAGACCUACAGUGGUGAUGUUUCCUCAGUGCCGGGAGUAGAAAAGGGGCAGCAGCUGAGAAACGCAAGCAUGCUUUUUCCUGUACUGUUUCUGUAAUACCUCCCAGUGAUGCAUGCAGGGAGGAACCUGAUCAACUUGUUACUUACACAGAGGAGGAAAGAAGACAAGCCCAGAGGGGGAGGCAGAAGUGAGCAUUAAACAUUCUUCAUGGCUGCCUCUUUUAAUGAUCUGAAGAAAACUGUCGCUUGUGUCAUCUGAUGUGAUCUUCACAAAGCCCAAGGUAGAAAAGUCAUACCUGUAUUAGAUGCUUAGUGUCUGCAGUCGAAGUCUUACAUUGUGCCUUUAUCUUGAUUACCUUUGUUACCUUGGGCACUUGACGGGGAAGAAAGCCACGUUGUUCUGAUUGCUUCAUGUUUCCAAGAUACUUUUUUUUUGAGGGGAAAGAUUUCCUGUGCUUUGUUCGACCUCUGAAGCAGAAUUUGGUCUUUCUGGGAAUUGUGUGAGAGCAAGUGAUUGCCUGGAGCAAGAGAAUACAUUCUGAAACUGCAGUAGCAAAGACCUUGAUCUCAAAGGCCACCUGCUACUGCUCUCCUUCUCUUCAGCCUUAAAGUUCACCAGGUUACAAACUCGGCUUGUCAUCUUUCUAUACAAUGGGUAGCAGUUCUGCAGAAGAUGAACAGAAUGGUUUCUCAAGGAUUACUUCCUGCUUAUAUCCCAGCUAGCAGUCUCCUCCUGUGGAAACCUUGGUGUAGUCUUCAGAAGACAUACUGAGUUGUCUUUUGGCUGCCUUUCUGGAUUCUCCCUUUACUGCUUAGUCUUUUGGGGGCCAGUCAGUAAAUCCUUGUCAACACAUAGCUUUUGACCUUCAGGUUUGCAACCCAGCUAACACAGAUACUUGGUAGGAGCUGAAUAUUCAAUAACAAACCUUCAACUGUUUCGUCCACAAAUUGUUAUAUAUCGAUCAACUUAUGCAAAGGGUUUUCUUAUAAAAAGCUAAACAAACUACUGGGCAUUAUUGAUUGAAGAAAAUGGGGAAAAUAUGUGAUAUUCUUUAUUGAUGUGGCUGAGCUUUGCACUUGUUAAGCAAUGCUCUGCGUAUGUAUUUUCUGUUCAUGGUUGAUGUUUAUUUUAUUUGCUGAGAUCAGUCAGAAAUACCUCGAUAGCAUGCUAGGAUUGUGUUUCUGGAGUGAACUCUGUUGGUGAAAGGGAAAUCCUAACCAGCAUCACUGUGCACAGGUCUGCAGGUGCUUUGGUGAUGUUCCCUUAUGUGAUACUGUCUUAGUUCUGAAUGUGAGGCACAAAGGGCAGAGCACCUUCUCAGUCAUUUUGCUUUUAAGUAGUUCUGGUAGUUGAGUAGAGCUGUUCUAAAAUGUUUUCUUCUCUUUCAACUUAUUCUCUUCACCUUAAACACAAACACAAGAAUCCCAUGGACGUUUCAAGACUAUGGCUCUUUCAAGACUAUCUAGGGUCAGCGAUUGCAGGGAAUGCAAGGUGCAGUCAUUUUUUGUGUUUUGUUCUGUCUGCUGUUUGGCACAAGAGAGACUCCCCUGGCCCCCAAGUGCUGCCAACAAUUACAGACACUUACCAGUCCCCAGCGGGAAUAACUGUUUUCAGCCAAUAUUUACAGCCUGCUCUGUGCUGGAAGAAUGGAGCUACUGCUGCUACUGUAAGUUGGAGAUGUAGGGAGGCUUCCUUUUGGCUCUUCAGUAAGAAAUAAGGUGUAAAAUACAGCUCUGAUAGCGGCUGUUAGCUUUAUUAAUUGCCCAAGAAGUGCUGCAGAAGAUGUUGCAUAGCUGCAGGCUUCCCCAGCUCC